UACGUAGGGGGCGAGCGUUGUCCGGAAUUACUGGGCGUAAAGCGCCUGUAGGCGGGAACGUGCGUCGGACGUGAAAGGCGGGGGGCUUAACCCCCCGAGCGGCGUUCGAAACGGCGUUUCUUGAGGGUCGAAGAGGAGCGUGGAAUUCCCGGUGUAGCGGUGAAAUGCGUAGAGAUCGGGAGGAACACCCAUGGCGAAGGCAGCGCUCUGGUCGGCAUCUGACGCUGAGAGGCGAAAGCGUGGGGAGCGAACGGG
rnacentral:rRNA from 1 species